UACAGAGGUCUCAAGCGUUGUUCGGAUUCAUUGGGCGUAAAGGGGUGCGUAGGCGGCGCGGUAAGUCGGGUGUGAAAUCUUGGAGCUUAACUCCGAAACUGCAUUCGAUACUGCCGUGCUUGAGGACUGGAGAGGAGACUGGAAUUUACGGUGUAGCGGUGAAAUGCGUAGAUAUCGUAAGGAAGACCAGUGGCGAAGGCGGGUCUCUGGACAGUUCCUGACGCUGAGGCACGAAGGCCAGGGGAGCAAACGGG
rnacentral:rRNA from 1 species